rnacentral:misc_RNA from 1 species
GAAAUGCGAUAAGUAAUGUGAAUUGCAGAAUUCAGUGAAUCAUCGAAUCUUUGAACGAACCUUGCGCUCCUUGGUAUUCCUUGGAGCAUGCCUGUUUGAGUAUCAUGAAAUCUUCAAAGUAAAUCUUUUGUUAACUCAAUUGGUUUCUACUUUGGUAUUGGAGGUCUUUGCAGCUUCACACCUGCUCCUCUUUGUUCAUUAGCUGGAUCUCAGUGUUAUGCUUGGUUCCACUCGGCGUGAUAAGUUAUCUAUCGCUGAGGACACUGUAAAAGGUGGCAAAGGUAAAUGCAGAUGAACCGCUUCUAAUAGUCCAUUGACUUGGACAAUACUUUUAUGAUCUGAUCUCAAAUCAGGUAGGACUACCCGCUGAACUUAAGC